GUGGAUGCAACAUUUUUAGUGGAUGGUUGUAGCAAAAAUCGACACCGGUUGUAGCAAAAAAUCGACACUAGUUGUAGCAAAAAAUCCGACAAACUCGGAUUGCAACUCUGACGAACGUGGAUGCAGCUUUUUUAGUGAACGGUUGUAGGCAAAAUUAACACCAGUUGUAGCAAAAAAUGACAUUGGUUGUAACAAAAAAA
rnacentral:lncRNA from 1 species